rnacentral:rRNA from 1 species
AAUAUUGGACAAUGGGCGAAAGCCUGAUCCAGCCAUGCCGCGUGUGUGAAGAAGGUCUUCGGAUUGUAAAGCACUUUACGCUGGGAGGAAGGGCAGUAAGCGAAUACCUUGCUGUUUAGCCGUUACCGAAAGCAUCAGCACCGGCUAGCUCUGUGCCAGCAGCCGCGGUAAUACAGAGGGUGCAAGCGUUAAACGGAAUUACAGGGCGUAAAGCGGGAGUAGGUGGGUCAUUAAGAUGGAUGUGAAAUCCCCGGGCUCAACCUGGGAACUGCAUCCAAAACUGGCGAGCUAGAGUAGGGCAGAGGGUGGUGGAAUUUCCUGUGUAGCGGUGAAAUGCGUAGAUAUAGGAAGGAACACCAGUGGCGAAGGCGACCACCUGGGCUCAUACUGACACUGAGGUGCGAAAGCGUGGGGAGCAAACA